UACAGAGGUCUCAAGCGUUGUUCGGAUUCAUUGGGCGUAAAGGGUGCGUAGGCGGCGCGGUAAGUCGGAUGUGAAAUUUCGAGGCUUAACUUCGAAACUGCAUUCGAUACUGCCGUGCUUGAGGACUGGAGAGGAGACUGGAAUUUACGGUGUAGCGGUGAAAUGCGUAGAUAUCGUAAGGAAGACCAGUGGCGAAGGCGGGUCUCUGGACAGUUCCUGACGCUGAGGCACGAAGGCCAGGGGAGCAAACGGG
rnacentral:rRNA from 1 species